UACGUAGGGUGCAAGCGUUGUCCGGAUUUAUUGGGCGUAAAGAGCUCGUAGGCGGUUUGUCGCGUCGGAUGUGAAAACCCAGGGCUCAACCCUGGGCCUGCAUUCGAUACGGGCAGACUAGAGUAUGGCAGGGGAGACUGGAAUUCCUGGUGUAGCGGUGAAAUGACGCAGAUAUCAGGAGGAACACCGGUGGCGAAGGCGGGUCUCUGGGCCAAACUGAUGCUGAGGGAAGCGAAAGCGUGGGAGCGAACAGG
rnacentral:rRNA from 1 species